UACGUAGGUGGCGAGCGUUGUCCGGAUUUACUGGGCGUAAAGGGCGUGCAGGCGGUUUGUUAAGUGCAGGGUGAAAGCUCCCGGCUCAACUGGGAGAGGUCCUUGCAUACUGGCGAACUCGAGGGAGGCAGAGGAAAGUGGAAUUCCCGGUGUAGUGGUCAUAUGCGUAGAUAUCGGGAGGAACACCUGUGGCGAAGGCGGCUUUCUGGGCCUUACCUGACGCUGAGACGCGAAAGCGUGGGGAGCGAACCGG
rnacentral:rRNA from 1 species